GGGCGGUGAGGAGGAAAGUGAGGAAGUCAUGCACCACUCUGAUGAAAUCUGUGCUGAUAAACCGUCAAUUACCCAUUUACAUCUGAGCCC